rnacentral:lncRNA from 1 species
AUGUUCUCAAUAAAUUUCAUACAACAAGAGGCAACUCCGACACCACAAGCCACCACCAAACCACCAUUAACAACCAUCGCCAACUCAUCACAACACAGAUCUGACAAUUUGUUGAACACUUAAUCUCCAAGUCUUCAAUUCGUUGAACCUACCAUCGGUCAUUGUCUCCCUCUCUCUGUUAGGUUUCGGAUUUCAGAUCUGCGCGACGGUGAAUCGGAAAAACGACCUGUGGCAGUGGCAGGCUUCACGUGAGUGGCGGCGGCCGACAACCACACUCAAAUCACCACCGCCGGAAAAACGAUCGGUGGCAGUGACGUCCGACGACAAUGAGUGGCUUCAGGAGGCUUCAUAUGACUGGCUGUGAGACGGUUAUGAUUGAGUUGAAAGCUAGGAUACUGUGGUGGUGACUGGGAUAAGGUGGUUGUGGCGGAGGUUGGUUGAACAGAGAAAGAGAAAGAGGGAGUGUGAG